AUUGAACGCUGGCGGCAGGCCUAACACAUGCAAGUCGAACGAGUGGCGGACGGGUGAGUAAUGUCUGGGAAACUGCCCGAUGGAGGGGGAUAACUACUGGAAACGGUAGCUAAUACUGAAUACCAUCGGAUGUGCCCAGAUGGGAUUAGCUAGUAGGUGGGGUAACGGCUCACCUAGGCGACGAUCCCUAGCUGGUCUGAGAGGAUGACCGGCCACACAGGAACUGAGACACGGUCCAGGCUCCUAUGGGAGGCAGCGGUGGGGAAUAUUGGGCAAUGGGGGCAAGCCUGAUGCAGCCAUGCCGCGUGUAUGAAGAAGGCCUUCGGGUUGUAAAGUACUCUCAGCGAGGAGGCGUUACGCGCAGAAGAAGCACCGGCUAACUCCGUGCCAGCAGCCGCGGUAAUAC
rnacentral:rRNA from 1 species